rnacentral:tRNA from 3 species
GGGCCCGUAGCUCAGUCGGUAGAGCAUUUGACUUUUAAUCAAAGGGUCAUGGGUUCGAAUCCCGUCGGGCUCACCA